rnacentral:rRNA from 1 species
GACGGACGCUGGCGGCGUGCUUAACACAUGCAAGUCGAACGAGAAGAGAUGAGAAGCUUGCUUCUUAUCAAUUCGAGUGGCAAACGGGUGAGUAACGCGUAAGCAACCUGCCCUUCAGAUGGGGACAACAGCUGGAAACGGCUGCUAAUACCGAAUACGUUCUUUUUGUCGCAUGGCAGAGGGAAGAAAGGGAGGCUCUUCGGAGCUUUCGCUGAAGGAGGGGCUUGCGUCUGAUUAGCUAGUUGGUGGGGUAACGGCCCACCAAGGCGACGAUCAGUAGCCGGUCUGAGAGGAUGAACGGCCACAUUGGGACUGAGACACGGCCCAAACUCCUACGGGAGGCAGCAGUGGGGAAUCUUCCGCAAUGGCGCAAGCCUGACGGAGCAACGCCGCGUGAGUGAAGAAGGUUUUCGGAUCGUAAAGCUCUGUUGAGAGGGACGAGAGGCAAGGGCUAGGAAAUGAGCUUUGAGACGGUACUUUCGAGGAAG